rnacentral:rRNA from 1 species
UACGUAGGGGGCAAGCGUUGUCCGGAUUUAUUGGGCGUAAAGAGCUCGUAGGCGGUUUGGUAAGUCAGGUGUGAAAUCUCCACGCUCAACGUGGAGGGGCCACCUGAUACUGCCAUGACUGGAGUCCGGUAGAGGAGUGUGGAAUUCCCGGUGUAGCGGUGAAAUGCGUAGAUAUCAAGAGGAACACCGGUGGCGAAGGCGGGUCUCUGGGCAGUAACUGACGCUGAGGAGCGAAAGCGUGGGGAGCGAACAGG